rnacentral:rRNA from 1 species
CGUAGGGUGCGAGCGUUAAUCGGAAUUACUGGGCGUAAAGCGUGCGCAGGCGGUUAUAUAAGACAGAUGUGAAAUCCCCGGGCUCAACCUGGGACCUGCAUUUGUGACUGUAUAGCUAGAGUACGGUAGAGGGGGAUGGAAUUCCGCGUGUAGCAGUGAAAUGCGUAGAUAUGCGGAGGAACACCGAUGGCGAAGGCAAUCCCCCUGGACCUGUACUGACGCUCAUGCACGAAAGCGUGGGGAGCAAACAGGAUUAGAUACCCUGGUAGUCCACGCCCUAAACGAUGUCAACUGGUUGUUGGGUCUUCACUGACUCAGUAACGAAGCUAACGCGUGAAGUUGACCGCCUGGGGAGUACGGCCGCAAGGUUG